UUUAUGGGGGUGACUGCGUACCUUUUGUAUAAUGGGUCAGCGACUUAUAUUCUGUAGCAAGGUUAACCGCAUAGGGGAGCCGCAGGGAAACCGAGUCUUAAUUGGGCGCUAAGUUGCAGGGUAUAGACCCGAAACCCGGUGAUCUAGCCAUGGGCAGGUUGAAGGUUGGGUAACACUAACUGGAGGACCGAACCGACUAAUGUUGAAAAA
rnacentral:rRNA from 1 species